rnacentral:sRNA from 1 species
UUCUCUUGUCUCACACAGGGAACCCUCUCUACCUUAACCCUCUCCUCUACCGCCCAGCGACACCUGCUACUCUUUUUGACUGAUGACUUGCCGGUGGAGUUAGUAUAAGGCUCUUGAACUAGGGAGGUUUACUUGCAGUUUCUGGCUACUAUCUUGUUGAAACUGGAAGACACUCGACAACCAAUGACAAGGGGAAAAUCGUUCACAUUGGAUCAAGAUGUGGCUGUUUGCAAUGCUCGGUUAAGUGUCUCUCAGGAUCUGCUCAAUGUUGUUUCGCAACCAAAAUGUAUUUCCUGGGAUUGAAUAUACCAAAAAUAUGUUGAGAUAACCGGUGAUCAAAAUGAGCGAUCACGAUGUUCCGUCCAGUCUAGGUGGAAAAUAAUUCUUGGAAGUUGCAAUCAGUUUCAUGAAUGUCUUACCAAAAUAGAACAGAAACAAAGUGGAUUGACGGAAUCUAACAAGGUUCUUCAAGCAAAUAUAUUGUUCUUGAAGCUUGAAAAGAAACGUUUUGCAUUCAACCAUUGCUGGGAAAUUUUGCAACAUAACAUCAAAUGGAAGAGUUUGCCACCGUCAAAGAGGUCAGAUAUUGAUGCUACGGUUACAGAUUUAAAUGUGGAUUUCUCACCGAAGGGGUCUGAUCCUCCUAUUGUGGCUGCAAACCUGAACAUCACUUCCUCACCGACGAGGUCUGGUACCCGAACCUUGGAUAUAGACCCAGAUGUUGAUUCCUCAGCCAAGAGGUCCGAUCCUCCUACUAUUGCCGCAAACUUGAACACCAAUUCCUCACCGAAAAGCUGAAUUUCUUAAAAGGAAACGAUCCAGAAGAAGAGCUGAAAAAGAAGCAUGCAAAAGAAGCAAGGUAGUAGGAACUUUGGAUUCUAGUCUAUGUGACGUGAUGGAGAAGCUUACCAAACAAUUGGCCGAAACAGAUAACAGAAAGGCGAAAAUUGCAGAAAGAAAGGUAAAGGUGAUGGAGGAAGCGAAUGAAAGGAAGCAAAGAGAGCAUGAUGACCGAAUUAUGAGUAUAGACACCACCAACAUGGAGCCACGCACAAGGGCUUACUACGAGCAGCGAAAGAAUCAUGUUUCUUUCAAAACUAUGGCACACAUUAAAGACCCCUCCAAUAUGGAUCUUCACACGAUAGCUCACUAGGAUCACAGCGAUAUUUAUGCGAAAAUGAUGGCACACGAUUCAUAAUAUGAACAUUGUUCUUAUGAAUCAUGUUCUCUGCGACGAUGUAGCUUGAAUUAUGAAUGAAUUAUGUUAGCU